rnacentral:lncRNA from 1 species
GCAAUGUGUAUAAGGGGAGAGUAAAUGAGAGAGUUAUUGCACCUUUGUUGUUGUAAGUACUUUUGUUUUUUUUUUAAGUUACAGAAACAAUGGGGAAUGAAGCCAAUUGAAUGCUUAACAUGAGGGGAAAUGAGCCUUUCCAGUCUUGAACAUUGGUCUUUUUUUCAAAUCACCAUAAAGAGAGACCUUUUAUUUUUGGAUUCUUGUAUCAUUUGGUAUUAAAAGAUAAGAAAACAAAAAUUUAAUACUUCUUGACUCUUUUGUUAUCCUUCACAUAUAUUCAUUAUUGAAAUUUAUUGUUAGUUAUGUUAAUUGCUCAUUAAAAGUCUUUUGAUCUCCCGGAAUUAGAAGAGCGUCGUCUCCUAUAACAGCCUCAACUAGAUCCGCUAUGUUCCACCUCUCGGGUACGUCCCUACCGCUGAGUCGAAGCAACUCUGCGCUAUUUUUGCAGAUGUCGCGAAAUAACUGAGUUAACUCCGGUGGAGCGCUGCUGUUGCCUGCGCGUAGGGCCGUCCCCCACUCCCGUCCCGGGGCGCUAAGGGGCUUUUGUUUUUGGAACAGACGGCAGUGUUUUGCUGACGCCUCGAAUCAAGCUUUUAUUGCGACAUGCUAUGCUUUCUCCCCCAUUGCUAGUAGGUUGAUGGGUCGCGCGCCCGGCACACAUGUUUUGGCCUUGUGUGUCCAUAACUCAAAAUAGGUGACCUAACGGCCGCCGGUACGGGACUAAGGGACUGUGGGAAUAGCG